rnacentral:lncRNA from 1 species
CACAGUUUCCUCCAGGCCCCACCAGCUUCUCUGCUGCAGGGAGUUUACCAGGAAACAGGUGCACAAAAGGAAGAACUUGCUGAGGCCCUGGCAAACUGGAAACUCAAUCCAGGUGGCCAAGGUCUAACCUUCCCCUACACCAGUGUCUGUUCUAACAUGUCAUCUGGGAUCCCUUGGAAUCUUCACGUACAGAACCGGUUGCUGCCUCAUUGAGUUGGUGGGACAGAAUAGCUCCUGGUUGGCAG